rnacentral:rRNA from 1 species
AUACGGGGGGAGCAAGCGUUGUCCGGAAUCAUUGGGCGUAAAGGGCACGUAGGCGGUUUCUUAAGUCGAAUGUGAAAUCUCACGGCUCAACCGUGAAUCUGCGUUCGAAACUAAGUGACUUGAGUUUGGGAGAGGUGUACGGAAUUCCUGGUGUAGCGGUGGAAUGCGUAGAUAUCAGGAAGAACACCAAUGGCGAAGGCAGUACACUGGCCUGAAACUGACGCUGAGGUGCGAAAGCGUGGGGAGCAAACAGGAUUAGAAACCCCGGUAGUCC